rnacentral:lncRNA from 1 species
GGGGCACCUUGAUCAACAUGUAUGCUAUUAGAUAGGUCAGUUGAGAAGACAUCUUGAUAUUUUUAUAUAAGUUGGAAAAGAAAACCAAAAGUCUCAUUAGAUCUAGUAGUUGACUCUUCUUAUAGUUGUCUAAGGCCAUGCCAUUUAUCUUUGAGAGACAAUAUGUAUCUCCACUACUUAUCCUUGGUGCUUUUAUUGAGGAGACUUGUUUUCUUACUCUAUUUCAUUAUUGACUUGAUGCAUCUUGAAACUAUAAAUCCCGCCUUGUUUUGUUGGUGAUUGAAUUUUGACAUUUUGGAUAAUCUCCGAUUUGAUGGCCUAACUCCCAAUAAUAAAAAUAAAAUCUCUUUUGCAUCAAUAUUUGUUAUCUCUUGUAGUGUCAAUGGUCCUUGUAAGACAUCAAUCUCCAUUGAUAUUGAUUUUUGUGCCA